rnacentral:rRNA from 1 species
CCUACGGGUGGCAGCAGUGGGGAAUCUUGCGCAAUGGGCGAAAGCCUGACGCAGCGACGCCGCGUGAGGGAUGAAGGUCUUCGGAUCGUAAACCUCUGUCAGCAGGGAAGAACGGUCACUGUGCUAAUCAGCAGUGAAUUGACGGUACCUGCACAGGAAGCACCGGCUAACUCCGUGCCAGCAGCCGCGGUAAUACGGAGGGUGCGAGCGUUAAUCGGAAUUACUGGGCGUAAAGCGCUCGUAGGCGGUAUGUCAAGUCAAGGGUGAAAUCCCCGCGCUCAACGUGGGAACUGCCUUUGAUACUGGCAGACUGGAGUGUGUGAGAGGAUAGUGGAAUUCCAGGUGUAGGAGUGAAAUCCGUAGAUAUCUGGAGGAACAUCAGUGGCGAAGGCGACUAUCUGGCACAUAACUGACGCUGAGGAGCGAAAGCGUGGGUAGCAAACAGGAUUAGAUACCCGAGUAGUC